rnacentral:rRNA from 1 species
AACGAACGCUGGCGGCAUGCCUAACACAUGCAAGUCGAACGAGACCUUCGGGUCUAGUGGCGCACGGGUGCGUAACGCGUGGGGACCUGCCCUUAGGUUCGGAAUAACUCCCCGAAAGGGGUGCUAAUACCGGAUAAUGUCUUCGGACCAAAGAUUUAUCGCCUUUGGAUGGGCCCGCGUUGGAUUAGCUAGUUGGUAGGGUAAAAGCCUACCAAGGCGACGAUCCAUAGCUGGUCUGAGAGGAUGAUCAGCCACACUGGGACUGAGACACGGCCCAGACUCCUACGGGAGGCAGCAGCGGGGAAUAUUGGACAAUGGGCGAAAGCCUGAUCCAGCAAUGCCGCGUGAGUGAUGAAGGCCUUAGGGUUGUAAAGCUCUUUUACCCGGGAUGAUAAUGACAGUACCGGGAGAAUAAGCUCCGGCUAACUCCGUG